UUUAAACUGGGAAAAAUCCCAGUUCCGAUCGGUCUCAAAUGCUACAUUAGCAUUGGUAUGAUGUCACACAUUCUGCAUAUUGUAGCAGAAAGGUGAGAAGGUGAGCACAUAAAUGAAACACACCUGUGAGCUGGGGGAAGGGAAAAAACAACAACAGCAGCAUGGACGAGAACAGAAAGAGGGGUCUGAAAUAGGAGGUUUGCUGAAGAUCUUGUGUGAUGUUGUAACACACGCUGUUCAGAUAGGAGUUCUCAUAACAUUCAUGGACCACACUUGGGCUGCAGACCUAGACCAGAAUAGAAGAGCAUGAAUUGGGAGUGUGUGGCGUCUACAGCUAUCGACAAACCAAGGUGUUUGAUCGAUGCGUCUUCGAGAGAAUCUACUGCAACAGUAACACCGGAUUAGUAUUUUAAAAAUACACAAUGCUUUUCAGAUACAUUAUGAACCUUUUCCCUUUUAUAAUUCAUAUUUGUGAAUUGUUCGAAGUGGAAAUUACAUACCUUGAGGUUUGAACCAC